CCGAGCUACGGCAACGCAGAUCAGUGGAAGAUUGGAAUAGCGUCAGUGUUUCCGAGUGCCAUCGCCAUCGUCCCGUCUAAGGACAUCUUCUGGACGCAAAAAAACGAAAACGGAAGCACUUUCAACGAACCUAACCCCGAGCUACAAUCUCUGGUUGCCACUUUAAGCACGGGUCCUGUGGGCGUGGGCGACAGAUUUGACGAGGUGAACGUCCCGAUGCUUAAAAAGUGCUGCACAUCAAGCGGUCGAAUCCUCAAGCCCAAUUUACCCGCUCUGGCAAUUGACGAUCAGAUAACACAGAUAGCAUUUCAAGAUGGCGACGGUCCCACAGGUGAAGUGUGGAGCACGUGGACAUUUGUGUCUGAGAAUGGCGAGAAGGGCCAGAAACACGGGAUCAUCUUCGCCUCUGGACUCACCAAGCCGUAUGAAAUCACC